CUGUAGUGAUUUGCAACGUGUGCAAAUAAUGAGAGAACAGAGGCAGAACGUGGAUCCAGCACAAAUUCUGUCACAAGAUCUCAAGACUUCAGUGUCUUUGCUCUUGGGACUGAAGGAUGUCACAAACAGGGAAUUCAAAGUCCAUCAGCAGAUUAGUUCCUGAUGUCUUGCUUGCAAAUGCUUUAGGUUAAUGAUGAAAUUUCUGCUGAUUGUUUAACACAGAUAUGUGCUUAAGAUCUCCCUGGGAAAGGCUGCCAACACUUAGUCUGGCUGAAUGUUCUCUGCCUUCUUCAACACUGCUGUUCAAAGUCCUGAGCUGGAGAACAUCUAUGCUUCAUUAUGAUGCCCAAACUCAGUGGAAUGUUGUGUCCAGAAGUCUUAUCAGGCUAUCUUAAUGAAUACAGAUUUUUCCAGAGCGUCA